GCCGUCGUGGCUAAGCGGUACAGCGUCUGAUUGCGAACGCGAAGGUUGUGGGGUUCUAUUUCCCAUCCAUGGGA
rnacentral:tRNA from 1 species